GAUGAACGCUGGCGGCGUGCCUAAUACAUGCAAGUCGAGCGAACGGACGAGAAGCUUGCUUCUCUGAUGUUAGCGGCGGACGGGUGAGUAACACGUGGAUAACCUACCUAUAAGACUGGGAUAACUUCGGGAAACCGGAGCUAAUACCGGAUGAUAUUUUGAACCGCAUGGUUCAAAAGUGAAAGACGGUCUUGCUGUCACUUAUAGAUGGAUCCGCGCUGCAUUAGCUAGUUGGUAAGGUAACGGCUUACCAAGGCAACGAUGCAUAGCCGACCUGAGAGGGUAUCCGGCCCACUGGAACUGAGACACGGUCCAGACUCCUACGGGAGGCAGCAGUAGGGAAUCUUCCGCAAUGGGCGAAAGCCUGACGGAGCAACGCCGCGUGAGUGAUGAAGGUCUUCGGAUCGUAAAACUCUGUUAUUAGGGAAGAACAUAUGUGUAAGUAACUAUGCACAUCUUGACGAUACCUAAUCAGAAAGCCACGGCUAACUACGUG
rnacentral:rRNA from 1 species